UCUGCUCAAUGUUAUAUUUAAUAAAUAGCUGCAAUUUUGUACUAAGGUAGCGUAAUAAUUUGCCUUUUAAUUGAAGGAUAGUAUGAAUGAAAAUCCAAAAAAUAUUCUGUCUUUAUAUUAUUAACAUAACUUAAUCUAAAAGUGAAAAAGCUUUUAUUAAAUAAAUAGACAAGAAGACCCUGUUGAGCUUUUUCUAUAUUUAAAUUAAUAGAUUUUGUUGGGGCAACAUUUAUUUUUAAAACCAAUAAUAUUUUAAAGAAUAUACUCACAAUUUUUAUCUUAUUUUAUAAAAUUCUAAUAAGUUACCACAGGGAUAACAGGCUAAUAUUUUUUUAGAGCUCAAAUUAACAAAAAUGAUUGGCACCUCGAUGUUGGCUUAAAGUUACUUUAAAAUGCAGCAAUUUUA
rnacentral:rRNA from 1 species